UGGGGGAGGGAGUUUGGGUGGGACCCGCAGGUAAGUGAGAGGGGGGUAGAGGGGGGGUCGGUUAGUAGGGGAUUAGAUCCCAGGACGGUGGGGAGUUUCGGCCCAUUGGCUACAAGGCGCCCAGGGCGGCGGUUCUAAGGAAAAAAAAUGUUUCCUAAUAUAAAACCUUUCCAAAACAGAAAAUAUAAACGUUAAAAAAAU
rnacentral:lncRNA from 1 species